UCCUUCAGAGACUGGUAAAAUGAGGACCCAGAUUGUUGGGGGCAAUAUGCUGACUCUGUAAAACCGUUUAGAGAGCAAUAUGAAGCCCUGUGAAGCAGAAUAAAAGUUGAAGUACUAUUGCUAUUGCUAAAGUAGUUACCACACAAUAGUUGACAAAGCAUUUUAGACUUUAUACUUCUGGAGGUGAAACAAUUUGCACUGGCAUAACUCAGGACUGGUUAGGACUCUUGCAUGUAAAAAUUGAGGGAGGCUGAAUGAUUUUUAUGAUUGGUUUUUUUUUUCAGAACAAUGGAUAUAUUCCUACCUAUAUUCACAUUUUACAUUCUUCACAUCACCUCCUAUUGGAGUGCAAGUGAGACCAGAAGGAUUCGUAUUGAUUUUGACGGUUAUGGCACUUUGGUCAUCCCUGGCAGUGAAUGACAUUUGCCAAGUAUGACGACGACAGUCUGGUUCCUUCUGGUUAUUGCCCCUACAAGGCAUGAAAAAUUCUCUGAGUUUGUGCACAGGUGGGAUCUCAUCGGUCUCCUAAGCUGUUUCAGGC